GGGUAAGGGAAGGAGGGAAAGAAG
rnacentral:piRNA from 1 species